AACGAUCGGGGAGGCUCUAACUCAGGCAAUAUACAGAUAUGGAUAAGUUCACUGAACAUAUGAAUUAAAAAGUACAAUCGCGGCACAGUUGUUAUGUCUUUUAACCCAAACAUGGAACAAUUGUGUUUUCACAAAAUAUUUCCUCACGAUUCAGAGUGGCUAAACAGGUUGUACGGUAACGCGGCCUAUGCCGUCCGUAGCUGCAGAUGUCGUUUUUUAAUAGGCUAAACAACUGACCGCGCGCAUGCAUAACACAGAACGGACAAACAGGAUUUCACAAUGUGACAGAUUCUGUUGGACACAAAGGACACGUAUCCCAAACAGAGAACUUAUUUGGAGAAGGUAGACAAAACGAGGACUCAUUUCCAGGUCAUGACCUGAGGAAUCAAAGUGGGCGGGGAAUGCAGGGGACUGUAGCCAAUCAGAUGUAAGGCUGGUGACUGUGCAGCCAGUCAGAAGAAGGUGAAGAAGAGGGUGAGGGAGUGUCACAGAUCGGCCGAGGUGGACAGCUGUCCCAGACGGGGGUCCGAGUCCAUCUCGUAGCGGUAGUGGUACCCCUCCAGGAUGUCCCGGCAGGCCUCCCGCACGUCCGUCACCCACC